rnacentral:rRNA from 1 species
GACGAACGCUGGCGGCGUGCCUAAUACAUGCAAGUCGAGCGGACUUGAUGGAGUGCUUGCACUCCUGAGAGUUAGCGGCGGACGGGUGAGUAACACGUAGGCAACCUGCCCUUAAGACUGGGAUAACUACCGGAAACGGUAGCUAAUACCGGAUAAUUUAUGUUAUCACAUGGUGACAUAAUGAAAGGUGGAGCAAUCUACCACUUGAGGAUGGGCCUGCGGCGCAUUAGCUAGUUGGUGAGGUAACGGCUCACCAAGGCGACGAUGCGUAGCCGACCUGAGAGGGUGAACGGCCACACUGGGACUGAGACACGGCCCAGACUCCUACGGGUGGCAG